UAUGGCCACAUCACAUUGAAACACUGAUUCCCAUAUGAUCAGCAAAGUUAAGCAACACUCAAGCCUGCUCAGUACCUAGAUGGGUAACCACUUGGGAUUAUCAGGUGCUGUAAG